UACAGAGGGGGCAAGCGUUGUUCGGAAUUACUGGGCGUAAAGGGCGCGUAGGCGGCCUUCUAAGUCGAACGUGAAAUCCCUGGGCUCAACCCAGGAACUGCGUCCGAUACUGGAAGGCUUGAAUCCGGGAGAGGGAUGCGGAAUUCCAGGUGUAGCGGUGAAAUGCGUAGAUAUCAUUUGGAACGCCAAUGGUGAAAACAGGUAGCUGGGGCUGUGCUGACACUGAGACACGAAAGCCAGGGGAGCAAACGGG
rnacentral:rRNA from 1 species